rnacentral:lncRNA from 1 species
CUGCCUCUCCCACGCCUAGCUCGUUGCCUCUGGUGAUAACUCGUCGUUCCAAUGUCUCAGAAUCUGCUUGCGUUUCAGUGACAAAGAGCCCUCCUGUACUACCCUCGAAGCCAGAACCUCCAGAUCUGUUUCCGGUGGAACAGAUUGAACCGCUGUUUGAAACCUUCCCUCCGCCAGAUUCGCCUCCGCCAGAUCCGCCGUUUAAAACUCCCUCUCCGCCAGAACCACCAGACCCUCCUCUUAAAGCUCCUUCUCCUAUGUGCCCCCCGGAACCUCCAGAUCCUCCAGACGUUUUAAAGGUUAAGAUAAUAACUAUUGCAGACCCUCCCGACCACGACCACUC